GUGUUCAAGAUCCUGCUAACCAGCAUUUUGUUUUACUUUCUGAUAGUUGUGUUCCUUUGCACAAUUUUGACUAUAUCUACAACUAUCUGAUGCAUACGAACAUCAGCUUUGUUGACUGCUUUCAGGAUCCUGGUCCACAUGGAAAUGGCCGGUAUUCAGAACAGAUGUUGCCUGAAAUUGAGAAGAAAGACUUUAGAAAGGGUGUACUAGUACAUUUUAUUCGAGAUGGUAAUGAUUCUAGGACUGUAGCUUACAUAGGAUAUUCAAUGCAUAUAUAUUGCAGUGAGGACAGCUACUUGGACAAAAAAUGGAGCUAAUAUACGAAGCACUAGCCCUUUUCUUGAUGGGUUCAAAUUGAAUAAACACUGGUCUCCAUAUUUCGAUAGCUUGUAAAAUUUCGUAUUUAAAGAUGCAUUACCAUUAGAGCAAUAAUAAAUUGGGCCUCA